rnacentral:rRNA from 1 species
UACGUAGGCAGCAAGCGUUGUUCGGAGUUACUGGGCGUAAAGGGUGUGUAGGCGGUUCUCUAAGUCUGGUGUGAAAUCUCCCGGCUCAACUGGGAGGGUGCGCCGAAAACUGGAGGACUAGAGUGCGGGAUGGGAGAGUGGAAUUCCUGGUGUAGCGGUGAAAUGCGUAGAUAUCAGGAGGAACACCUGUGGUGUAGACGGCUCUCUGGACCGCAACUGACGCUGAGGAGCGAAAGCGUGGGGAGCGAACAGG